GCUAUCCGCUAAACACUGGACAGAACUGGACAACCAGUACAUUCCGGUGGAGAGAUAGCCAGUCUUAGCCGAAAGGCUCCGUUAGGAAGGUCAUGAUACCAACAGGUGCUUUCCAGCCUGCUGCUCUAUC
rnacentral:sRNA from 19 species